UUCUGACCUCUGCAUUUUAACCACAGUAGUAUUAACUUGAACCAAUUCCUCAGGAUCACUAACAGACUUUAUAAGCUCUUAGUUCUCUCUAUUUAAUUCUCUUUUAUAUUAAAAAGUAGAGUGGUUUCAGUUUCCUAAAUCAAAAUGUGACUUAUACACUGAGUCACACCAAGGUUCUAAAUUUAACUCAGAUCUUCACUAAUUAGACUUUAUCUGGUAGCAUAUUUGUUAACUAAAUUUCCACCUAUUUACCCCGAUUCUCAGUUCUCAUUUCAGGUACUCUCACCAGAGGAGGUGCUUACUUUUAUUUGCUAAAUGAAUAAAUGUUAUCAGGUCAUCUUCUGGGUUACCUGAUUUUAUAAAAUAAUAACUUAUCCCUAUGAGUUAAACUUUCAAGUUAAUCUAAUACUAUACUCAUCAAAUUACUCAUAUGUUUCUAAUCAAUUUGGAAUUAUUUUGAACUUUACAUAAUCAAGCACAUGAUAGCUUAUAGCUUAAAUGAGAAAUUAAAACGCCAACAUAACCAAAGGUGUAGUCAAAACUUUAUUCAUUGACUACCUAAUUGUGAAAGUAAGUUAUUUCUCAAGAAUAUUUAGCUAAAUCAAAUGACCUUUAUUAAACUAAUUUUUCAUCAAAAUCUAAAUGUACUCAAUUAUAAAUUAAGUAAUAACUUCACAUAUCUAUAAUCAAGUAGAUUACUCAUUGAUAAUUAUUUGGUUAUCAUUCUGUUCUUGACAUACAAACUUUUAGCUUGUGUUGAGUUUGUUAUUUCUUCUUUAAAUAUGUUUGGACCCCCAUUGUUGAUAGCAUAAUAACCCGACUUAUACUAUAAUUUAGAGGUUCAGAUUGCAGAAAAAUAAACUUUAGUAAAACUGACACUAAGUGAAACAUCUAUUGGACCUGUGGCUGGCUUGUAACUUUCUCAGUUUUAAUGUACAGGGCUUAUACAAAGGGGGGAAGUUGAUGAAUUUGAUACUAACAGUUGGCUACCAUCAGAUUGAGUUGCUUAAUAACAUUUGCUCAGAACUAGUUUCCUUCCUAGAUUGUGAGGCUGAGCAGAAAAAUAUUCCUACCACCACUAAAACCUCAUGCAGAAUCUCAUCUGUUGAAGUGCAACACUCCAAAAAGGAAACUACAU
rnacentral:lncRNA from 1 species